AUACGGAGGGUGCAAGCGUUAUUCGGAAUCACUGGGCGUAAAGGACGCGUAGGCGGGUUGGCAAGUCAGAUGUGAAAUCCUACAGCUUAACUGUAGAACUGCAUUUGAAACUGCUAACCUAGAGUGUGGGAGGGGGAGAUGGAAUUAGUGGUGUAGGGGUAAAAUCCGUAGAUAUCACUAGGAAUACCGAAAGCGAAGGCGAUCUCCUGGAACAUAACUGACGCUAAGGCGUGAAAGCGUGGUGAGCAAACAGGAUUAGAAACCCCAGUAGUCC
rnacentral:rRNA from 1 species